rnacentral:rRNA from 1 species
UACGGGGGGUGCGAGCGUUAAUCGGAAUUACUGGGCGUAAAGGGCACGCAGGCGGACUUUUAAGUGAGGUGUGAAAUCCCCGGGCUUAACCUGGGAAUUGCAUUUCAGACUGGGAGUCUAGAGUACUGUAGGGGGGGGUAGAAUUCCACGUGUAGCGGUGAAAUGCGUAGAGAUGUGGAGGAAUACCGAAGGCGAAGGCAGCCCCUUGAGAAUGGACUGACGCUCAUGUGCGAAAGCGUGGGGAGCAAACAGG